rfam:Rattus norvegicus chromosome 8, whole genome shotgun sequence.
GGGGAUUUAGCUCAGUGGUAGAGCGCUUGCCUAGCAAGCACAAGGCCCUGGGUUCGGUCUCCAGCUCCA